GGAAAACAUACGGUAUGUGGUAAUCAGUAGCCGAAAUGCUUGUGCUUCUUGCUCGAAUGGUAAGUGUGAAAUCUCGAAUUGAACCAUGUGUAAUUGUGAAUGGUUUGAAUUACGAGAUCUUGAAGGACCAAUCUGUUGCUGAUUGCAAUUAGAGUGUCUAACUAAAAUGAUAAAGACAUUGACCAAGACGACAUUAUCUCACUCGCACAAAGGUGGCUAAGUAAACCUUGAAAUUCAAGAGGAAGUAAAAUGAUGUUGGUUGCCUUCCAUUUUCUCUUUGCGCUCAAAGGACAAGGAGUGAAACUAAUAAAAACUAUUAAAAUUUAAGUAGAUUGUUUAUAAAAACAAGACAAUAGAGCAGGGAUCCACAAUUUAUUCAAGUAAAACGACAAUGACCCAAAUUACUGUCAAGUCCAUUGAAUAAUGCAUAUUUACCGAUUGAUGGCGUAACGUACCCAAGGCCGUGUGUGAUGGAUACCUAUGCAGUAUGUGAAGGGAUAUAGAACAAAGAUUUUUUCUGAAGGUAAACACCAAGACCGACCCACCUACUCGCUUACCACUUCCCCAAGACAAACUUGUUCAGUUUACAAGUCUGGUAAUCUGAAAUAAACAGUGUAGAAGUUCAUCAAGUAAUAUAAACAUAUUUCAAUCAUCCUUAAAAUAUGAAUCUGUAAACAAUAGUAGGAAAUAACAAAUGUUUGUAGUGUUUUUAAUAUCUUCGUACUUUGCUCCGUGAAUAAUUUUGUGUUUAUCAUCAUAAGGACAUGAUAUAAGGAGACGCGAACGCCGAUAUUUAAAUUACUUACAUUCCAACGCUAAAGGGAGACGCACUAAAAUGCCAUUAAAAAUUAUAAACGCUCUAGUUGAACAGUUCUGUGGUAAGACAUCCAAUGUUCAAUUACCCUCGCAAGAACGACUUAAUUCGUCCAAGUCGCUGAAGGAAAAAGAAAGUGAGACCUACUUUUGGAUUAUGUGGCGGUGGUGAAUAAUGGAAAACUAUGUUUCGCGAGUAUUUGCCCAACGAGCCAUUGUGGUUGCUGUUUAUCUACGCGAGUACUUUAAUUUUGUGUAGUCCCGUGUUUUUGUUGAUUCUUUUAUAUUUGCCGCACAUACCAAUUAUUUUAAUAAGAAGGAUUUGUUACAUUCCAUUCGAAUCCAUCUGACACCAUCGAUGGUAGUUGCGUAUAUCUUAGUUACCUGUAAUUUUGUACCUACGUUUAUUUAUGAGACUAAAAAGAGAACUGACAAUUGACUGUAAGUAAUAAUAAUUACGAAGUAUGUGAUAUAUCUAUAAAUAAAUUAUGUAAGACAGAUAAUAAAUACAAUUCGUUGAUAAAGUUA